GGAAAACCGUGAGUGUACGUUGAGAGAGAGAGAGCAGAAGGGUGAACGGAGAUGUGCUCUGGAAGUUGAACCAGGUUUUAAGAAGACGAGUUUGUAUUGACUGGAUUUACUCAGUACAUCUUAUGUUUUGCCUUGUUAGCUGUGUGUAGUUAGCGAUUGCAGAGGCACAGAUGUUGUUUUUUUACUGAGUGAGAAAAAACGGAGAUUCUCUGUGAGCGGGUUCAAGCUAACCGCAAAAGCUAACGGCUAAGCUAACGGCUAAGCUACGGCCGGCGAGCCUCGUCGGGGCUGAGUGGACUUUGAACUGGACAGACGGAAGUGCUUCUGGAUGAGGAGUCACCUGUCGCUCCUCUGACCGUUUCUUUUUCUGAGACAUUGGAUUAUUCGUCCACUGGCUGCUGACUUUUCAGGCACCGAGCUGUGAACGCCACGACGUGGAUUCUGCUAACGGCUAACUGUGAGUUUGCUGACCGGAGAUCAACGCCGCGGCGGGGAUUUCGUGGACUGCUUCCUGUGAUCAUCAUGGGUUUUCUACUCUGCACCUGCACUACGGCGAACAGCUGGAGAUCGACACACAGGCCUGCAACGUCUUGAGGUUUCUCCCACUUGUGAUUCUUGAAUUCAGUUCUUUGCCCCUUAACCGAAGCCAGUGAGAUGUCAUUCUCAUUUCCACGGCCCGGACCGGUGCCACUAAUGGUGGAUGGCAUGGAUCAACAUGAGUGUAAGUGAUUUACCAGCAACUGGGAACAGAGAACAAGUGCUUGCACACACUGGAUCAAAUGUCGCUUCUAAGUGCAGUUUUCAGCAGUCAAAAAAAUAUCAAGACGCCACAACAUGAAGGAGUGCAGAUGUGGAGCGAAGGCAUCUACAGUGGAUAUGUUUUUUGCGUCGCUGGAUCGACUAUCAAAACGGUUUCCCUAUAAGAAAAAGUGUGGCUCCCAUAAUGACUUUCUUAAGGUUUCAAAUCAAAAUUUUAAAGACUUGACUGCACCUUUUUUUGUCAGCUGUCCAAUGUAUCAGCAAUUUUCCGCACGCUGGUCCCAGUUCCUUAUAAUGUUCUUGCACAAGCUCAAACAGGCUUUGCAAAAUAAACAACCCUGCGCCAAGCAAAUCUGAUAUCUCCCAGCUUUGAAAUGUCAGCAAAUAAGUUCAUAAAUAAGUUAGAAGUUGUUUUGUCAGGUCAGUGUUGAAUGAGUAACAUGAAUAUUGUGAAAAUGACUGGUCACUGAGGAGUGCUGACUUAAGUGUCAAAGCUGGUAAUUGUCUGCAUUUUGGAAAAUUUACUCUAGCAGGUCGUGGAAAUACACAAAGUUGUUAUUAACUAAAUUACUCACUUUUUUGGGGGUAGACAUUUGUUUGUAUCACUGGCAUUUGCACAGUCGGCUCUUACAAACUAAAGUGUCCUGUCCAGUGAUGACAUUCCGUAUACUGGAAUGCAUUUUUCAUUCAUUUGGUUGAGAAAAAACACAUGUUCAACUUCUCAUGGAUAACUUUUGCAAACUAUCUCUGUCUUCCCUGUUUUUCUGACAAUUGCCACUACAUGCUACACAAUCAAUGUCUAGAACAGAAACAGCCUAAUAAAUUCCUG
ensembl:lncRNA